rnacentral:rRNA from 1 species
AAUGAACGCUGGCGGCGUGCUUAACACAUGCAAGUCGAGCGCGAACGCGACUUCGGUCGUUAGUAGAGCGGCGAACGGGUGAGUAACACGUGGACAACCUGCCUGAAUGUGGGGGAUAACUUGAGGAAACUUAAGCUAAUACCGCAUACGGUCGAAGGGUAUAGGCCCUUCGAGGAAAGAUCGCCUAUCCUUGGAAGCGAUUGCAUUCAGAGGGGUCCGCGGCUGAUUAGCUUGUUGGUGAGGUAAUGGCUCACCAAGGCGACGAUCAGUAGCCGGCCUGAGAGGGCGAUCGGCCACACUGGAACUGAGACACGGUCCAG